CAAGAAAAUUACCGAGUGUAGGGUUCCUAGCGAGCCCAACCUCCCACCCGUGUUUACUGAACCUUAGUUGCUUCGGCGGGCCCGCAUACCUGGCCGCCGGGGGCUCUCAGCCCCGGGCCCGCGCCCGCCGGAGACACCACGAACUCUGUCUGAUCUAGUGAAGUCUGAGUUGAUUGUAUCGCAAUCAGUUAAAACUUUCAACAAUGGAUCUCUUGGUUCGGCAUCGAUGAAGAACGCAGCGAAAUGCGAUAACUAGUGUGAAUUGCAGAAUUCCGUGAAUCAUCGAGUCUUUGAACGCACAUUGCGCCCCCUGGUAUUCCGGGGGGCAUGCCUGUCCGAGCGUCAUUGCUGCCCAUCAAGCACGGCUUGUGUGUUGGGUCGUCGUCCCCUCUGCGGGGGGGACGGGCCCCAAAGGCAGCGGCGGCACCGCGUCCGAUCCUCGAGCGUAUGGGGCUUUGUCACCCGCUCUGUAGGCCCGGCCGGCGCUUGCCGAACGCAAAUCAAUCUUUUCCAGGUUGACCUCGGAUCAGGUAGGGAUACCCGCUGAACUUAAGCAUAUC
rnacentral:rRNA from 1 species